GAUUGACUGUGAGAGGCUUCAGGACGAGCUGGAGGAGGCGAAUAACAAAGCUCACAGAAAAACCAGGGGUAACGUCAAGUUCAUCGGGGAGCUGUUUAAGUUGCGGAUGUUGACCGAGUCCAUCAUUCAUAACUGCGUGGUAAAACUGCUGAAACAAAAUGAAACUCUAUUCUCCUCACCACCGCCGGCUAAGAGAUGGACUUUAAGACGGCCAAGUACUUGAUGAUAAGAUUUAUUUGGGACCGAAUUUCGGGGGACGACGGCUGAACUGGAAGAACGGCUGUGAUGGAGAAACUAGCGCUAGAGCCACAUCCGGAGCAUCAGUAAAACUGGACGCAGUGCCAGACUCGACUACAAACAAGCCUGCGCUAUCAGAGGAGGAAAUGGAGAAAUGCUCUAAAUCCAUUAUUGAGGAGUUUCUACACAUAAAUGAUUACAGAGUAAUGAUCUCAUGCAGUGAUCUGGACCACGCUGGAGCGAAACCAGACCACGUGGGUCAUCUGUUCCAUCAGCUGCUGCAGGCUGGGAUCCUCUCCACAUCUCAGUUUUUUAAAGGGUUCUCAGAAACCCUCGAGAUAGCAGAUGAUAUGGCGAUUGACAUUCCUUAUGUAUGGCAGUACAUAGCGGAGCUCGUUAA